rnacentral:rRNA from 1 species
UACGUAGGGUGCGAGCGUUGUCCGGAAUUAUUGGGCGUAAAGGGCUCGUAGGCGGUUUGUCGCGUCGGGAGUGAAAACUCAGGGCUUAACCCUGAGCCUGCUUCCGAUACGGGCAGACUAGAGGUAUGCAGGGGAGAACGGAAUUCCUGGUGUAGCGGUGAAAUGCGCAGAUAUCAGGAGGAACACCGGUGGCGAAGGCGGUUCUCUGGGCAUUACCUGACGUUGAGGAGCGAAAGUGUGGGGAGCGAACAGG